AGAGAACUGAAAAAGCACAGACUCAAAAGUCAGAAACUGAGAUGAUGAUGAGACAGUUGGAGCACUCAUCAGGUCACGUAUAAAAAGCAACAGCAGCAGGACCAAUGCCCACUGCAGGGAUAAAUUUACAUUACCUGACACUAUUAAGCCCUUUUCACACAGACAUUCGGGAUCGUUUGAUUUUAUUUAUUUUUUUGUUCAUUCACACUGCUAGUGAUUUGCCAUCUCCAAGGUCCCAGAAAGACACGUGACCUGUUAAAAGUCCAUCACUGUCUUUUACCCAGCGUCUGAAGUUUGCAUAUUAUUUAUUAUUUCUCUCUCCAGAAACCACUUGCGUGCAUUUUUGUUUAUGAUAAGACUAUAAAUGAGCGUGUGACGCGUCGUUCUAUGCUGGUGAAUGAUUUCAUCUUCAGAAUGGAUAUUUGACGAGCUCCCUGAUCUCUGCUUUAAUCCAGUUUUCAGACAUUUCUCAUCGUGAUUGUUAAUAUGCAUUUAAAACCCGCAUUUUGAGGAGCUGAACGAUAUACGCAAAGGCAUUUUUGUUUAUUAUAAGCUCAAAUGAGCAUGUGACGCUAUAUUCUUUUAUGCUGCUGAAUGAAUAGUGAUGAGCUAACUUACCUGAUAUCUGCACCAGUCCAGUUUGCUGACAUUUCUCUUCGUGAAUGUUGAUCUGCAUGUAAAUCCCUCAUUUUAAAGAGUUGAAUCAACUUCAUGUUGCCAUUACACGCACGUCCUCGUUUAUGCGUCUCAUUUAUCAUUUCCUGAUAACUGCUUCAAUCUAGUUUGCUGACAUUUUUGGUCUUUAAAGAGCUAAACAAAAACUUUUGUUGUGAUGACGCACACAUUCUCACAACAACACGCUCAUUACGGCAUUGUUUCGACUUCUUGUUCACACAGAGGGUUUUCCAGGUAUCUUACUAGGUCCUCUUUCCGGCAACAAUCCCUGAAGAUUUACGGGAUGUGUUUGCGUUUACACAAAUGCUUGUCUGGCAAUUUUACGGGUAUUAUCUGAAACCAAAGGUCUGUGUAAACGGUUUUUUAGUUUAUGGCAGGUGCUGAUGUUAUUCUUUUUAGGGCUUAGAGACUGAAUGUUUGGAGUAAAAAAAAAAUAUUUUCAGCAAUGUUUGUAGAACAUUUCAAAACAUUUACGGUCGGUUUUGCCGGACCGGGUUUAGAUUAAUCCAGGACUAUGCAUUAGUUGUCACUCUGUGAUUUCAUUACCAUUUACGAAUAAGGGGCCAAUCACACCAAUGGAAACACAAGUCGCGCCACACUGCCUUUUUUUGGUCACUUUAAUGCAUAAUGCACACUACCCAUAGAAACUCAUUGAAAAAAGAUGCCUGCAACUUCCAUAAAUGCGUUUGGUGUGAUCGACCCCUAAGUCAUUUCAAUAACUAUUACCACCUUUAUAUGUUUUAUUAUUCAUUUCCAUCUAUGUCACUUUACUCUUAUAACAUUACUAUUUAUUAAUCACUUAAUGCUGCUACCUUAUUACUGUUACUACUGUAAAUACUUAUGAUAUUUACUACAUUUUAAAUUGCUAUUACCCUAAUUAAUCUCUUACUACUGUUACCAUUAUUCUGUAAAAUGUCAUGUGGCACUACGGCAGGCGUUAUAUCCUAUGUACCUGUCCUAUGGCAUAUGUUUGCACUUAUUGCAGUACGUAGUUUUGUGUUGUUUUUUUUGUUUAGUGUAGCUCUGUAUUAUCUAUAUGACUCUUUGAUGUUCUGUGUAGCUCCAUAGUCCUGGAGAAAUGUUUUUACAAACAUACCUUACUUGACACAAAACAAUGGCACUGAUAUAUUUUAAGAUACGGUAUAGAUAUAUUCAAAGUCUAAUAUUGUAAUAGAAAAAGGUUUUUGACCCAAAUACAAAAUGAUUUUUUUUAUUAAAUUAAAAGCACAAUUUGUAAA